UGGAUGCGCUCAGCGUAACGUCAGUGCGUGCGGUGCACCGCGGUGGAUAUAAUCGUAUAAGGUAGAGGGUAGACGACGCCUUAGAUGGUUUCAAAUACAGCGGCAGCGGCAGCAAGCCAGACUCACUUGGUGAGUGCAACUUGGUCCGUCUAGGCAAAAACUAGGAUAGGCCUAGAUGGCUCUUCGUAGCUCGGUCAAGAUGCCCAACGACGGCAUGGAGAAAAACGCAACGGCGAUCACGUGGCGUAGAGAAAGAGAGAAGAAGACGAGAUUCCUAAAAUGUUCAAGACCAUCGGGCUUAUAAAAACUUCUGGUUUCGAACAAUAUUAGAAAAAAACUCGAGACUCUCGUCACCUGUCUAAGGUGAUUCGAUGUGCUUGAGCCCAUCACUAGACGCGCGUAUACGCACGCACGACGUACGCGUCACUGAAGAAAGAAGCUGGAGAGGAGAGAAGCACGCGAAAGACAGAGAGAGACGCGGCUAAACCUUGGAAGGAGAGACGCGGGAGAAGCAAAUACUGCCGGGAUAGUGUACCGCGUACAGCUGCAUCAUGCCGCAAAAGCUUCAAGGAAGCUUCUUACAGCAUUACACGUGGAUGUGCGAUUGCGAAGGAUGCAAAAUCAGGUGAAUCAAGACAGCACAGACCUAAUCCUUUGUGCGACGGUGCGAGGAACGCGCUGCAUCAUCCAUUUGGAUAGGGUGUAUGUAUACUGGAGAAAAACUAGGAGAGGCAUAUGCGUAUAUGUCCGGUUUUUACAUAAAUAAGUAUGGCUUUUCUUUUUUUAUAUACCACGAUGUAGAGCCGCGUUGUUGUAUGCGUAAUAGCAAAAGAUAUAUGAGCUCGCAUCUUUUUAUAUACGCUUAAUCGCCUUGAAUAUUAAUAAGAUUUAUUAGUCUGGUCCUUGGUAUUUACUGAAUAUAUACUGACAUCUGAAAACACGUUUCCUUCGCAUUACUGCAUUGCGAGCGCGUAACGUAAUUAAUAUUCACCUAUCGGUCGACAUUAAAGAGAAUUGCGUAUACAAAAAGAAUUAGAUUAAAAAAAUUAAUUUUGUGUGUGAGAUCUGAAAAUAAAUUCCAGUCUCCUGUUGAUAUCGAGAACAUAAUAUUUAUUUUGUGAACAAUUAUUUUUAAUUACCGAUAUCAAUGUAUAAAUUAGACCUUUCACAAACGUUGGUUGGACCGUGAAAGCAUGUCAAGGAAAGUCAUCCACAUAAGAACGUAUUAUUAUUUCGCAAGUCGUUCUGUAAGCGAUGUAAGUUAUGCAGUUUAGAACUGGAUCGUGUCCAUGUGAUGUUGACCUCUUCAAGGGAGCUAUUAUGGGAUCAUUUACGAUUCCGACUGGAAAGGUAAAUAUUUUCUAUUGGCGAGUUUCCGAGUCUGUGAUUUCAUGAUUACAAUAAUUUCGGCGGUACAGUUGAAUGAUUAUUUAUAUACUAUAGUCUUAUUAU